rnacentral:rRNA from 1 species
UAUCUCUGUAGAGUCUGCAUAUCAAUAAGCGGAGGAAAAGAAACUAACAAGGAUUCCCCUAGUAACGGCGAGUGAAGCGGGAAGAGCUCAAGUUUGAAAUCUUCAAGGGUUUCCCUUGACGAAUUGUAGUUUAUAGAAGUGUUUUCUGUUAGAGAGGUGGUAAAAGUUCUUUGGAAUAGGACAUCAUAGAGGGUGAGAAUCCCGUAUUUGGUCAUUCCUCCUAGCGUUGUGAUACACUUUCAACGAGUCGGAUUGUUUGGGAAUGCAGUCCAAAAUGGGUGGUAAAUUUCAUCUAAAGCUAAAUAUUGGCGAGAGACCGAUAGCGAACAAGUACCGUGAGGGAAAGAUGAAAAGAACUUUGAAAAGAGAGUUAAACAGUACGUGAAAUUGUCAAAAGGGAAGCGUUUGACACCAGUGUUGUUUUUCCGAAAAUCAAUUACGAAUGUUUUGUUUUUGAGGAGUUAUGACUUCAUCGGCUUGCUUCUCUCUUUACGAAACUUUCUUAAUGCACUUUUCGGUUAACAAGUCAACAUCAAUUUCUUUUGUUGUAAAAGGGUACGAGGAAGGUGGCUUUCUUUUCGGAGAAAGUGUUUAUAGCCUUAUGCCUCUGCAAUCGGAGAGACUGAGGUCUGCAGCGUAGACUCUUCGGGGUUAGAUACAUUUGUGCUAAGCUAUAGCUUUUUAUAGACAACUUGUUGACUAUAUUUAGUCUUGUGGCUUACUCGCUUAUGCUAUUUUACCUACGCUUAGGAUGUUGAUGUGAUACUGCGAGCA